rnacentral:rRNA from 1 species
CCUACGGGAGACAGCAGUGAGGAAUAUUGGUCAAUGGACGAGAGUCUGAACCAGCCAAGUAGCGUGAAGGAUGACUGUCCUAUGGGUUGUAAACUUCUUUUAUAAAGGAAUAAAACGAGGCCCGUGUGCUUUUUUGCAUGUACUUUAUGAAUAAGGAUCGGCUAACUCCGUGCCAGCAGCCGCGGUAAUACGGGGGAUCCGAGCGUUAUCCGGAUUUCUUGGGUUUAAGGGGAGCGAGGAUGGUUGUUAAGUCAGUUGUGAAAGUUUGCGGCUCAACCGUAAAAUUGCAAUUGAUACUGUCAGCCUAGAGUACAGUUGAGGUAGGCGGAAUGCGUGGUGUAGCGGUGAAAUGCUUAGAUAUCACGAAGAACUCCGAUUGCGAAGGCAGCCUACUAAACUGCCACUGACGUUGAUGCUCGAAAGUGUGGGUAUCAAACAGGAUUAGAUACCCGAGUAGUC